rnacentral:tRNA from 1 species
GGGGCUGUAGCUCAGUUGAUAGAGCACCUGAUUUGCAAUCAGGGGGUCAGGGGUUUGAACCCCCUCAGCUCCACCA